AUUGAACGCUGGCGGCAGGCCUAACACAUGCAAGUCGAGCGGAAGAAGGGAGCUUGCUCCUGGAUUCCGCGGCGGACGGGUGAGUAAUGCCUAUGAAUCGGCCAGGUCGUGGGGGAUGGCGUUCGGAAACGGGCACUGAUACCACUUCCGCCCUGAGGCGGAAGAUGGAGGAGCUUCGGACCUCGCGCUAUCGGCUGAGCCUAGGUCGGAUUAGCUAGUUGGUGGGGUAAGGGCCUACCAAGGCGACGAUCCGUAACUGGUCUGAGAGGAUGAGCAGUCACACUGGAACUGAGACACGGUCCAGACUCCUACGGGAGGCAGCAGUGGGGAAUAUUGGACAAUGGGCGAAAGCCUGAUCCAGCCAUGCCGCGUGUGUGAAGAAGGUCUUCGGAUUGUAAAGCACUUUAAGUUGGGAGGAAGGGAAGUAAGUUAAUACCUUGCUGUUUUGACGUUACCAACAGAAUAAGCACCGGCUAACUUCGUG
rnacentral:rRNA from 1 species